rnacentral:rRNA from 1 species
UACGGGGGGGGCAAGCGUUGUUCGGAAUCAUUGGGCGUAAAGGGUGCGUAGGCGGUGCGGUAAGUCUGGUGUGAAAUCCCCGAGCUUAACUCGGGUCCCGCGCCAGAGACUGCCGUGCUCGAGUGUGGGAGAGGAAAGUGGAAUUCCCGGUGUAGCGGUGAAAUGCGUAGAUAUCUGGAGGAACACCGGUGGCGAAGGCGGCAUCCUGGACCGGUAUUGACGCUGAGGCGCGAAAGCCAGGGGAGCAAACGGG